rnacentral:snRNA from 1 species
GUGAUUGCUUCAGCAGCACAUGUACUAAAAUUGGAAUGAUAGAGAAUAUUAGUAUGGCCCCUGCACAAGGAUGGCAUGCAAAUUCAUGAAGCAUUCCAUAUUUUU